rnacentral:lncRNA from 1 species
UUGUCGUUUGUUUACUAGUAUGUGCUACAUAUUUGUUUUUGUUCAUUUGUUUUAUAUAAUUAAGGCCGUUAGUUUUCUCGUUUGAAUUGUUUUUCAUUGUUAUUUCUGAACCUUUUAUAGAUGACAAUGCGGUAUGGACUUUGCUCAUUGUUGAAGGCCGUACGGUGACCUACAGUUGUUAAUUUCUGUGUCCUUUUGUGGACAGUUGUCUCAUUGGGAUUUAUACCACAGCUUCUUUUUUAUAUGUAUCAUUAUUGAACGCAUACAUAUCGUUAUCUAGGUUCUUCUAUUUUAAUUGUAUAUAUAUAUAUAUAUAUAUACCCCUUUCGAUAA